UAAGAUGAGUUGGGAAAGUUUUUCGCUAAAGGAUUGGGCUAUAUGGUAUCAGCUUGUUGGUGAGGUAACGGCUCACCAAGGCUAUGACGCCUAACUGGUCUGAGAGGAUGAUCAGUCACACUGGAACUGAGACACGGUCCAGACUCCUACGUGAGGCAGCAGUGGGGAAUAUUACACAAUGGAGGAAACUCUGAUGUAGCAACGCCGCGUGGAGGAUGACACAUUUCGGUGCGUAAACUCCUUUUAUAUGGGAAGAUAAUGACGGUACCAUAUGAAUAAGCACCGGCUAACUCCGUGCCAGCAGCCGCGGUAAUACGGAGGGUGCAAGCGUUACUCGGAAUCACUGGGCGUAAAGCGCAUGUAGGCGGUCUUGUAAGUUGGGUGUGAAAGCCUAUGGCUCAACCAUAGAACUGCACCCAAAACUACUAGACUAGAGUCUGGGAGAGGAAAAUGGAAUUAGUUGUGUAGGGGUAAAAUCCGUAGAGAUAACUAGGAAUACCAAAAGCGAAGGCAAUUUUCUGGAACAGUACUGACGCUCAGAUGCGAAAGCGUGGGUAGCAAACAGGAUUAGAUACCCUGGUAGUCCACGCCCUAAACGAUGAAUGUUAGUCGUCGGGAGGCUCGUCCUUUCGGUGAUGCAGCUAACGCAUUAAACAUUCCGCCUGGGGAGUACGGUCGCAAGAUUAAAACUCAAAGGAAUAGACGGGGACCCGCACAAGUGGUGGAGCAUGUGGUUUAAUUCGAAGAUACGCGAAGAACCUUACCUAGCCUUGACAUUGAUAGAAUCCGAUGGAAACAUUGGAGUGCCAGUUUACCGGAGCUUGAAAACAGGUGCUGCACGGCUGUCGUCAGCUCGUGUCGUGAGAUGUUGGGUUAAGUCCCGCAACGAGCGCAACCCUCGUCCUUAGUUACUAACGGUUCGGCCGAGGACUCUAAGGAGACUGCCUUCGUAAGGAGGAGGAAGGUGAGGACGACGUCAAGUCAUCAUGGCCCUUACGGCUAGGGCGACACACGUGCUACAAUGGAUAGGACAAUGAGACGCAAUACCGCGAGGUGGAGCAAAUCUAUAAACCUAUUCUCAGUUCGGAUUGUAGUCUGCAACUCGACUACAUGAAGCUGGAAUCACUAGUAAUCGUAGAUCAGCCAUGCUACGGUGAAUACGUUCCCGGGUCUUGUACUC
rnacentral:rRNA from 1 species